GAUGAACGCUGGCGGCGUGCCUAAUACAUGCAAGUCGAGCGAACGGACGAGAAGCUUGCUUCUCUGAUGUUAGCGGCGGACGGGUGAGUAACACGUGGAUAACCUACCUAUAAGACUGGGAUAACUUCGGGAAACCGGAGCUAAUACCGGAUGAUAUUUUGAACCGCAUGGUUCAAAAGUGAAAGACGGUCUUGCUGUCACUUAUAGAUGGAUCCGCGCUGCAUUAGCUAGUUGGUAAGGUAACGGCUUACCAAGGCAACGAUGCAUAGCCGACCUGAGAGGGUGAUCGGCCACACCGGAACUGAGGAAAGGGCCAGACUCCUACGGGAGGAAGCAGUAGGGAAUCUUCCGCAAUGGGGGGAAGCCUGACGGAGCAACGCCGCCUGGGUGAUGAAGGUCUUCGGAGCGUAAAACUCUUUUAUUAGGGAAGAACAUAUGUGUAAGUAACUGUGCACAUCUUGACGGUACCUAAUCAGAAAGCCACGGCUAACUACGUG
rnacentral:rRNA from 1 species